AUGGGCGCCGCCGUGGCGGAGUGGACGGUGGCGGCGGUGCUUCUGCAGGUCGCGGGCCUCUCCCUCUUCCUCUACGGGUUCUUCCCCGUCAAGCCCACGCUCCCGGGCUUCAGUGGCGCGGAGAGCUACCGGGCGCCGUCGUGCGGCCCCGUCGGCUGCGGGGAGGGGCCGGCGCUUCCUCCGGAUCAGCUCAGAUCGCUGUACAGGGUACUUUCAGAGGUCCCCCAUGUGUAUGAUCGCUUGGUAUUGAUGGUGAUAGAUGGGCUACCUGCUGAAUUUGUACUGGGGAGAGGUGGAAAACCUCCAGCCAAAGAAAUGAUGGAGUCAAUGCCAUACACACAGUCUCUGUUAGCUGGUUGCAGAGCAGUGGGUUAUCAUGCAAAGGCUGCACCUCCAACCGUUACAAUGCCCCGACUAAAAGCAAUGGUGUCAGGGGCAAUUGGAGGUUUUCUAGAUGUAGCACUUAACUUCAAUACUCAAGCCUUCUUGGAUGACAAUCUUCUUGAUCAACUUCAUACGAUUGGUUAUAAAUUAGUGAUGUUGGGAGAUGAGACAUGGAUCAAAUUGUUCCCAACACUGUUCUACAGACAAGAUGGAGUGAGCAGUUUUUAUGUUAAAGAUACGGUUGAGGUUGAUUUCAAUGUGUCUCGUCAUCUGGAAUCUGAGCUAGCUGCAAAAGACUGGGAUGCAUUGAUUCUUCACUAUUUAGGUUUGGAUCAUGUUGGCCAUAUAGGUGGCCGCCAGAGUAAUUUGAUGACCCCAAAGCUAAAGGAGAUGGAUGAUGUCAUUAGAAGGAUCCAUGCUGCAGUUACGAGCAUUCAGGAUAAUUCACACAGAACACUUCUGGUUGUGGUCAGUGAUCAUGGAAUGACUGAAGUUGGUAAUCAUGGAGGAUCUUCUUACGAAGAAACCGACUCCCUUGCCCUUUUUAUAGGACACAGUGUUGAGAGCUCACAUUGUUCGCCUUAUGACCAGAAAGAAGCACUUCAAGUUGACCUUGCCCCAACUCUAGCUCUGCUCUUUGGCAUACCAAUUCCAAAAAACAAUAUAGGUGUCUUGCUUCCGGAGCUUUUUAAUUCUUUGGCAGAUGAUCAAAAACUGCGCACCCUAGAACUGAACUCGUGGCAAAUCUUAAGAUUGUUACAAAAACAGAGACCUGCUUUCUGCUCUGAAGACUGUGUUGACUCAAAGGAUGACUUUGGAGCUGAUAUGCUUCCUGAAUCUACUGAGAAAAAGUUGUGCCGUUUGCUUUCCAAGGCUUUUGCUUCUCAUCGAUCCUCACUUCUUCAUCGAGAUUCUAAUUUCAGGUCCGUUGAAGCAGCUGGGCUCUUUGGGGCUGCUGUGGACUCCUACUCUGGCUUCUUAAGACAUGCGAGUGAGUGGUUGUCUCACAGAGCGACUGAUAAACCACUCUAUUUGCUUGCCUCUGCAAUCUCCUUGAUGAUUAUUUCAUGUUUUUCUCUUGCCGGAAUUAUCUCUUGCAUAUUUAAGGGGAAGUCGCAAAUUAAAGUUGAACACCAUUCUGAGUUGGAUUUGGAUAAAAAUUGGCACCUUGAUGAGGUUUUCAUUCUAAUGGGGAUUUUCCUCUAUGUUGCCAGCCUUGGUUCAAGCUCUUUUGUUGAAGAAGAGCAGUAUAUAUGGCAUUUUCUCACUUCUACUCUCUAUUUAAUAUUUCUCAUCAAGACAGUCCAAUCGAUAUUGAAAGAAUCAAACUCAACAUUAGUCCAUAGAUCGGAAACAAAGACAUUUCACAAAAAUAACUCCUCUUAUCUUGCCAGCUAUAAGCUAAUCCCAGGACAGCAAGAUGGUUGCAAGUUAUAUACUGUCCUUAUUGUUCUUGUGGCUGGGAGAAUUCUAAGAGCUUGGUAUCAAGGUGGGAUUAACUGGGUUCACUUUCCUGACAUUUCAAAGAUAUUGAACCAGUCGGACUCUUCUAUUGUGAAGUCUCUGCAAACUAUCUCAGUUCUUGCAGUUGUGGUAUUAUAUUCAGUUUCGCUCAUGUUACUGAGAACAAGGAGAAUUCUUAUUAUAGGGCUAUGGUUGAGUCACCUUUCAUGUGGGCUUUUAGUUAUGCUUCAUAUCUGGAAAAGUCAGGUCGAUACUUCGGUACCAAUCAACAACCAUAGCACAACAUCAAUAGCUCAGAUUUUCUAUGUCAUCGCAAGUAUUUCAGUAACUUGCACUUUUCUUCUAUCGCCAUGGAUAUUUCCAACACAUUCUAAAGAAGCAGAACCAACAUCCUCCUCCGGCUCCAAUCCUGAAAAGGCGCAUGGCCUCAAUCAUUCAGUGUUCUUGACUGGAGUAACAUAUACAAUGUUCUGGUGCCUUCUUCAAUUGCUUCUGCAACAACCCAUAAAUGCAGUCCCUGUUUUGCUUAUUCUCUUGCAAAUAAUCUCGAGUGUGAUUUAUUUUUCUCUGGAGAAAUCAUUGCAUAGGCAAUGGGUGCAGGUUGUCGCAAUGCAAUUCUUGGGAAUGACCGGCCACUUUGGCCUUGGGAACACCAAUAGCCUCGCCAGCAUCGAUGUUGCUGGAGCUUUCAUUGGCAUCUCAAGCUACUCCACGGUCCUCUCUGGGGUUCUGAUGUUCAUCAUUACGUAUGGGUCGCCUCUGCUGUUAUACCUCGGGAUGGUGGUCCAUAUGUCGGUAAAAGAUAGUAAUGAUAUCUCCACUCCGCAGCAAUGGAGCAGCGUCCUGAGCAGAAUGAUUGCACUGCCCUGUUUGCUCCCUUUGCUCGUCAAUUCUAUUGCCCUGACUUCAUACACCAUUGUCCUGCUGCUCAUGAGGAACCACUUGUUUGUGUGGAGCGUGUUCUCGCCAAAGUACCUCUACGUCUGCGCGGCGACAGUGUGCACAUAUGCUGGAGUGUUGGUUAUAGCCAUGACCGGAGCUUACACCUGCGCCGUGUUCUCGUUCAGGACGAGGAACUACAGAGACAAAUCCGUAGAUCAGAUUGACGGCUAG
rnacentral:rRNA from 1 species